UAUAGAGUGGGGUAUAUAGGGUAUUAACUUACAGGUAGUGUAUAUAGUGGGGUAUAUAGGGUAUUAACUUAAAGGUAGGGUAUAUAGUGGGGUAUAUAGGGUAUUAACUUACAGGUAGUGUAUAUAGUGGGGUAUAUAGGGUAUUAACUUAAAGGUAGGGUAUAUAGUGGGGUAUAUAGGGUAUUAACUUAAAGGUAGGGUAUAUAGUGGGGUAUAUAGGGUAUUAACUUACAGGUAGGGUAUAUAGUGGGGUAUAUAGGGUAUUAACUUACAGGUAGGGUAUAUAGUGGGGUAUAUAGGGUAUUAACUUACAGGUAGGGUAUAUAGUGGGGUAUAUAGGGUAUUAACUUACAGGUAGGGUAUAUAGUGGGGUAUAUAGGGUAUUAACUUACAGGUAGGGUAUAUAGUGGGGUAUAUAGGGUAUUAAUUAACAGGUAGGGUAUAUAGUGGGGUAUAUAGGGUAUUAACUUACAGGUAGGGUAUAUAGUGGGGUAUAUAGGGUAUUAACUAACAGGUAGGGUAUAUAGCGGGGUAUAUAGGGUAUAAACUUACAGGUAGGGUAUAUAGUGGGGUAUAUAGGGUAUAAACUCACAGGUAAGGUAUAAAGCGGGGUAUAUAGGGUAUUUACUUAGAGGUAGGGUAUAUAGUGGGGUAUAUAGGGUAUUAACUUACAGGUAGGGUAUAUAGUGGGGUAUAUAGGGUAUUAACUUACAGGUAGGGUAUAUAGUGGGGUAUAUAGGGUAUUAACUUACAGGUAGGGUAUAUAGUGGGGUAUAUAGGGUAUAAACUCACAGGUAGGG